rnacentral:lncRNA from 1 species
AUGGAUAUGAUCGGGUGGUUCUGUUGGUGGCACAAUGAUACUCUAGUUUGUGUAUAUUUGUUCUUUAUAAUUUCAAAAUACUUUUAGGGAUACCACAAUCUUUGGUUUGGGUAUUCUGAGUUCAAUUGCUAAUUGAUACCAUAAUUUUCAUAUGGUAUCAGAGCUCUUGAAGCUCUUGAGUUGAAAUCUGGGUGUUGGGGUUUCAUUCAUCUUUCCAUUGUGAGUUCUUGGCUAGAGCUGAACUAGAUUGGGUGAUUCUUGAUCAGAUUUAAGAAGUCUUGGUAGUAUUUAUUGAUGCAGACUUCAGAUUUGUAAGAUCGGUGUAUUUCGAAAUGUGUACUGGUCAUCAGAGGGAAGACUUUUUCUAGGGUUUGCUAUCUUGGCGGGUCAGAAUUUAUUAAUAAUCAAAUGACUUUGUUGUGUAAAGAUAAAGAAAUCAUUCAUUAGAUUUCAGAUAAAAGUUGUGAGCCGAGGAACUUUCAUGAGGCUGCUAAUGAUCCCAAUUGGGUGUUAGCCAUGAAUGAAGAGACUGAAGCUCUUCACAGAAAUGACACGUGAGAUUUAGUUGAAUUGCCUCCUGGUAGAAGUGUAGUUGACUGUAAGUGGAUAUACAAAAUAAAAUAUAAAUCCACUAUUGAAAUUGAAAAGUUUCAGGCUAGACUUGUUGCCAAAUGUUAUAGUAAAAAACAAGGUGUUGAUUUUGAUGAAACAUUUUCUCCUGUUGUUAAACUUGUAAUUGUUAGAUGUAUCUUAUCU